rnacentral:rRNA from 1 species
CCUACGGGAGGCUGCAGUGGGGAAUAUUGGACAAUGGGGGCAACCCUGAUCCAGCCAUGCCGCGUGUGUGAAGAAGGCCCUCGGGUUGUAAAGCACUUUCAGUGAGGAAGAACGCCUGGUGGUUAAUACCCAUCAGGAAAGACAUCACUCACAGAAGAAGCACCGGCUAACUCCGUGCCAGCAGCCGCGGUAAUACGGAGGGUGCGAGCGUUAAUCGGAAUUACUGGGCGUAAAGCGCGCGUAGGUGGCUUGAUAAGCCGGUUGUGAAAGCCCCGGGCUCAACCUGGGAACGGCAUCCGGAACUGUCAAGCUAGAGUGCAGGAGAGGAAGGUAGAAUUCCCGGUGUAGCGGUGAAAUGCGUAGAGAUCGGGAGGAAUACCAGUGGCGAAGGCGGCCUUCUGGACUGACACUGACACUGAGGUGCGAAAGCGUGGAUAGCAAACAGGAUUAGAUACCCUAGUAGUC